GAGAUCCCUACCUCUAGUUGCUACCAUUGCUCUCCGGAGUAGUGGGGCUAAUUAGAGGGACUGCCGUCGCUGAGACGGAGGAAGGAGGGGGCUACGGCAGGUCAGUAUGCCCCGAAACCCUCGGGCCACACGCGGGCUGCAAUGGUAAGGACAAUAAGUUCCUAGUCCGAAAGGAGGAGGUAAUCUCCAAACCUUACCUCAGUUAUGAUUGAGGGCUGAAACUCGCCCUCAUGAAUAUGGAAUCCCUAGUAACCGCGUGUCACAAUCGCGCGGUGAAUAC
rnacentral:rRNA from 1 species